rnacentral:rRNA from 1 species
UACGGAAGGCAGCAGUGGGGAAUAUUGCACAAUGGGCGAAAGCCUGAUGCAGCUAUGCCGCGUGUAUGAAGAAGGCCUUAGGGUUGUAAAGUACUUUCAUCGGGGAGGAAAAACAAAACUAAUAAUUUUAUUUCUUGACGUUACCCGAAAAAGAAGCACCGGCUAACUCCGUGCCAGCAGCCGCGGUAAUACGGAGGGUGCUAGCGUUAAUCAGAAUUACUGGGCGUAAAGAGCACGUAGGUGGUUUUUUUAAGUCAGAUGUGAAAUCCCUGGGCUUAACCUGGAACUGCAUUUUGAAACUGAAAUACUAGAGUAUCGUAGAGGGAGGUAGAAUUCUAGGUGUAGCGGUGAAAUGCGUAGAUAUCUGGAGGAAUACCUGUGGCGAAAGCGGCCUCCUAAACGAAUACUGACACUGAGGUGCGAAAGCGUGGGGAGCAAACAGGGAUUAGAUACCCGU